rnacentral:rRNA from 1 species
AUUGAACGCUGGCGGCAGGCCUAACACAUGCAAGUCGAACGAGUGGCGGACGGGUGAGUAAUGUCUGGGAAACUGCCUGAUGGAGGGGGAUAACUACUGGAAACGGUAGCUAAUACCGCAUACCAUCAGAUGUGCCCAGAUGGGAUUAGCUAGUUGGUGGGGUAACGGCUCACAAAGGCAACGAUCACUAGCUGGUCUGAGAGGAGGACCAGCAACGCUGGAACUGAUACACAGGCAAGACGCCUACGGGAGGCAGUAGUGGGGAAUAUUGCACAAUGGGCGCAAGCCUGAUGCAGCCAUGCCGCGUGUAUGAAGAAGGCCUUCGGGUUGUAAAGUACUUUCAGCGGGGAGGCGUUACCCGCAGAAGAAGCACCGGCUAACUCCGUGCCAGCCGCCGCGGUAAUGC